CACGUUGAAACACCUGGUUCCCGUACGAUCAGUAACGCUAAGCGACGUCGAGCUUGGUCAGUACUUAGAUGGGUGACUGCUUGAGAAUACCAGGUGCUA